rnacentral:rRNA from 1 species
UACGGAGGGUGCGAGCGUUGUCCGGAAUCACUGGGCGUAAAGGGCGCGUAGGCGGCCUGAUAAGUAGGGGGUGAAAUCCUGCGGCUUAACCGCAGGGCUGCCUUCUAAACUGUCAGGCUCGAGCACAGUAGAGGCAGGUGGAAUUCCCGGUGUAGCGGUGGAAUGCGUAGAGAUCCGGAAGAACACCGGUGGCGAAGGCGGCCUGCUGGGCAGUUGCUGACACCGAGGCGCGACAGCGUGGGGAGCAAACAGG